GUUUUUGUGUAUAUUUGAUACUAAAUAGUUUUAGAUCUUCAAACUUGAUUGAUAAACUAUUCUACUUUUCUGUCAAGACUACACUCAUAAUAAUCAAACGUCUGGCAGAGAAAUGGUUAAUGGAUAGUGAAACAUGGGAGUGAUACAGUACAUUGUGGAGCAUAAAAGCAUGCUAUAAUUCUUCCAGCACAAAACAAUCCAUCAGCUCUGCUCAAAAGAUCAACCUCAGGUGGUUACAGGGAUCAGCUACGGCUGCCAAAAAUGAUCUCUCUCACUGUUCAUUUUUUUCCCCUUGAAUUUUUCACGUUAAAAAUGUCUAAGGCAUGCAUUUUACAGAAUGACAGAUAGAAAGAAAUGUACCACUUCUAUUUUCAGUAAGAUAUAGUUAUCAGAUCUCGGUUUCUGAUAUGUAGUCAAUACUGACAUCCUCUUAAUAACUGAGCUGAAUGUCUGUAAGCGUCUCUUGCCAGCUCAUAUGAAACAUCACAGAUGCAGUGAUUCUUGCUUUAAGACAGAAUAUAUCCUGUCUUCAUGUGCAUGACUUGUGCUGUGUCAGUCAACACAGUAAGUAUUCACAGGAUACAACACGUCAGCGGAAUAAAUCGGAAAAACAUCAGCUCUAAUCAUGUAUCGAUUCAAUGUUUCAGGUUAGCAUCAGCUCUGAUACAGAUAUAUAGAUACAUAUUCACUAGGUUCUAUGCUGUAAUUGUUUGAUACUUUUAUCAGGAAAGGGUAAAGAGAUUCUGUUCCAAGAUAGUUUUCAUAACACUCCUGAUGGAACAGCACACAUCCCUCCUUUGUGGCUCACAUUUCUUUUAAAAAAUAUCUAUGUACAGUAAUAGAUGGUCAGAUCAGAUGAUCAUUGUUUACAAUGUUCUGAUAGACUCUGAUCUGACUGAUGAAAAAAAAAAAGUCCUGUGAGGUCCUUGCUUCUCUCCACCAUUUAGUGAACUGUAUCUGUGGCUCCUUGAGCCUUGACAAAGCCCCCGAGUGCACAACACAAUUACAGCAGUGCAUGUACUCAUGCACUGAAGAUGACCAUGAUCCGGCUGCUGUGGACUGACGCGACUGGAUCGCACAUGAAUAUACAGAAAUGAUGGAUGAUAAUAAAAUUCCAUGACCCAUGCAUAUGGGAAAAAAACCCCCAGAUAAUUAGCUAUGUCUAUAAAGUCAAUGAGAAUGUGCUUUGCUGCUACAGAUGAAGCUACUUACGUACACCGUCCCUCUGCAUUUACUCUGCACUGGUGGAACUACAGUACACCAAUACUGUAUGCAGAAGGAGAAAUGAUGAUGUAUUUAUUGAUAAUUCAGACUCUUCUACACAUUGGUUAUUGUGCUUUAUCUUUUAUAGAUCAGCCUGAUAUUUUCA
ensembl:lncRNA